rnacentral:lncRNA from 1 species
UUCUCAUUUUUUUUAUUUAUUUAGAAAUAAUAAAAUAAGACAUAAUAUAUAAAAAUCUGUACAAUCCACAAUUUGUGCAGUACAUUAGGAAGACUUUGAUACAAAAAGGCUGCAAACAGGAAAAUAGUAAUGGACAACUGUCAGAUGCCUAGAUUGUUCACCUUACAACAGCUGCAGGCCGAAAGUCAUUACAAAAUCAGUUUCUCCUUGGCUGUGGGAUGGCAACUAUGCAGCACCCUUCUGCUGUACAAUGGUCAUGAGCAGCCAUAAUUUAAAGACAUUACAGUACUUCUCAGUUUUACCUUGUAAUCCAUCAUGAAAAAGAAGACCUAAGAGAACAAAUGAAGUAUCUGGACCCUUUGUCUUUUCCGAGAAGAGCGAGCGCUAAACUAACAACACAGAAGUUUAUCAUGGCUGGGAGAGAAUAUCCUUAAACACAGUGAAUAAGUGAUGAUUUCUACCCUUGCUACUUAACCAAGGACACCUCGCACAGAAGGGACAGAGGAAGGAGGAGAUCCAUCCCCACCUGCCUCGGAAACGCUUUUGUCACUGCACGCAGGAUUAUGUUUUAGACAAUGUGUCUCAUUCAAGUAUUUUCAGGGAAGGGCAGAAAUAACAUAUUCCCCCCAGCCCCUAAGCGAAAUACAGCAUAAACCUUCUGUGCGAGCCGGUUGAGCCAACUUUAUCCUUGAUAAAGAGGCUGAACCAAUGUAGGUUGGAGUCUGUGGGUAGAGCUCAGUCCAUUUGAAGGGCCCCUAAUGAAGCAUCAGCUUGGCCCAGGCUCACCAGGAACUGAAGAAACGCUGUCACAGUCACUGUGUAGUCCUUAAAAAUAACAGUAUUUUUAAAUCACUAACCCAAUUUGCUGCUGUGGAACUGUGCUACAAUAGUCUGUCCUACACCAGGCUUACCACAGUGUGUUGAGAAAUACAGAACUGAUGGACAAAGGGGAAAGGGUACCAUGGAGUGUACAUUGCAGGUCUCUUUCUAGCAGCUUCCCGGAGCCAGAGGCUGAGUGCAAUUCUGCAAUGUAAGAUUCAACCGGCAAAGACAAAGGGUUAUGAAAGAAAAGAGAAGAAAAUGAAGGUGGCAGAGAGUGCAGUGGAUUUACCUCAAUGCACACCCUUGACAAGACUAGCACUCGGAAAGCUGGUAACUCUGAAAAAUGCCAGUAACUAGAACAGGUUUUCAAAUGAAGUCCAUGCUUAAAAAAUAAAUAAAGAGAAGUUCAUAGCAUUAGGAAUCCUAUAAGGCUUGCAAGUAAUUGCUAAAACUCAUGCUAACCGGUAGCAUCUAGGUACUAGCUAGCCGAGACUGCCGAGCAGGAUUUAUACUUUGUGUGGCCUUUUCUUUUUCUUCUUCUCCUUGUCCUCCUUUACAGACUUCUAUUUACAUUUGGCUUUAAAUAUGAAAAUACUUGAUAAACUUUAUAAAAUGUACAUUUUAAAAAUAGUUCUGAAAAACUGACUUGAAAAACAAAACAAAACAAAGAAAA